rnacentral:rRNA from 1 species
GUCGAGAAUCUUUCACAAUGGGGGCAACCCUGAUGGAGCGACGCCGCGUGGAGGAUAAGGUCUUCGGAUUGUAAACUCCUGUCAUGCGUGAACAAGGUUGCUUGGUUAAUACCUGGGCAAAUUGAUGGUAACGCAAGAGGAAGAGACGGCUAACUCUGUGCCAGCAGCCGCGGUAAUACAGAGGUCUCAAGCGUUGUUCGGAAUCACUGGGCGUAAAGGGUGCGUAGGUGGCGUGGUAAGUCAGAUGUGAAAGCCCGGGGCUCAACCUCGGAAAUGCAUCCGAUACUGCCAUGCUAGAGUACUGGAGAGGUGGAUAGAAUUCUCGGUGUAGCAGUGAAAUGCGUAGAGAUCGAGAGGAAUACCAAAGGCGUAGGCAGGUCACUGGACAGUUACUGACACUGAGGCACGAAGGCCAGGGGAGCGAAGGGGAUUAGAAACCCUGGUAGUCC